ensembl:antisense Gm15133 predicted gene 15133
ACAUUGAAAAGCAGAGGCUCUGAUCCAGCUUUGCUGCCUGGAAAGGGAAUGUCUGUGGUAGGAAACAACGCUCUGGGUCUCGUGCACAAGAACUCCACUCCCAACUCUGCAAAGAUUAGAUUUUACAUUUAGUCUGCCAUUACCCUCUGACCUUAGUGAACAGGAUGAAGGUGACCAGGUAUUCUCAUUCUUCAAACAAAGCAUGGCCACGGUUUUGAAUGGGCUGCUGCAUCCUCUGCCAGCGUGUGAUGCCACAUCUGGAUUCUACUUGCUGCCCUGGUGAUUGGCAGAGCCUCACGGUUUCUUCUGGAAUGAACAGCCAUUGCUGAUUCGAGACACAUCGAAGAACAAUCCAGAGAACAGAAUCCAUUUGAGAUAAAGAAGACACCUUUCAUAUCAGUAACUGGAAGACAGUCAAGGAGACCUCUCUGAGAUCCUGCAUUGACCCCCACAGACAGCUUCCUGUUCCACUGGAAUUAGAGGCAGUUGGGGAAAGUCUCAAAUCAUCAC